UUUGUGUACAGAGAGAGAGACAACACACUGAGACUGAGUGGCUCUGCCUGACCAAACAAUGGAGUAGCAGUCUCCUGGAUAGGCCCUGAUGGAUAAUCCUUCUGACUAGAACAAAAACUGUUUGAGCAGUGUGAGUUAGAGAACCAUACUGAGAGACGCACGACUCACAGCUGAUACAUGCUGCUGGCAUUACAGACCUUAUCCAAUGAGCCUGAAGUCAUUGGAAAGAAUGCCAUUGACUUGAAUAGGUUUUGAAUCAGGAACUAUUUCAUUUUGUUGACCAACAGGAUUUGCUUGAGUGACAUCAACACUGGAAUCCCAAUCUGAAUCCAUGACUGAGAGCUGUAGUAUAACCCUCACAAUUUAAUGAACUGCCAGGAUCUGCUUCGUUACCUCAAACACCGAAGAAUAAGAAG